rnacentral:rRNA from 1 species
AGUUUGAUCAUGGCUCAGAACGAACGCUGGCGGCAGGCCUAACACAUGCAAGUCGAGCGCCCCGCAAGGGGAGCGGCGGACGGGUGAGUAACGCGUGGGAACGUGCCUCUUGCUACGGAAUAGCCUCGGGAAACUGGGAGUAAUACCGUAUGUGCCCUACGGGGGAAAGAUUUAUCGGCAAGAGAUCGGCCCGCGUUGGAUUAGGUAGUUGGUGGGGUAAUGGCCUACCAAGCCGACGAUCCAUAGCUGGUUUGAGAGGAUGAUCAGCCACACUGGGACUGAGACACGGCCCAGACUCCUACGGGAGGCAGCAGUGGGGAAUCUUAGACAAUGGGCGCAAGCCUGAUCUAGCCAUGCCGCGUGGAGGAUGAAGGUCCUCUGGAUUGUAAACUUCUUUUAUAUGGGACGAAAAAAGGGUUUUCUAACUCGUCUGACGGUACCAUAUGAAUAAGCACCGGCUAACUCCGUG